UACGUAGGGUGCAAGCGUUGUCCGGAAUUAUUGGGCGUAAAGAGCUUGUAGGCGGUUUGUCGCGUCUGCUGUGAAAUUUCGGGGCUCAACCCCGAACUUGCAGUGGGUACGGGCAGACUAGAGUGUGGUAGGGGAGACUGGAAUUCCUGGUGUAGCGGUGAAAUGCGCAGAUAUCAGGAGGAACACCGGUGGCGAAGGCGGAUCUCUGGGCCUGUCCUGACGCUGAGGAGCGAAAGCGUGGGGAGCAAACAGG
rnacentral:rRNA from 1 species